UUACUGUCUGCAGAGAGUAUGAGAACUGGCCUGGAGUUCAUGAGAGAGAGAGCUGGAGAGUUGGUUCUGCCCUUCACUCGCUGCAACACAGUAGGGGAGUGAACUUAGAUCUCUGUCUACUGUGUGGGUUAUGGAGCUCAAGCUCGGCAGCAUGUGACUUUAACUGCCAGCCCCUGAGGAGGAAGAAGCUUCUGCCCGAUUCUCUUUUGCCAUUGGGUGCCCAGCUGUCGGAUGCUCAGCCAUUGGGUGAUCAGCAUUUGUUGAUAAGGCAGAGAACAAAUGGUACUAAUUUCCUCAUGUUAUUUUCCUGACUGAAGAUCAGCUAUGAGAUCACCUGUCUAUCCCCUAAGACUUCCUGAUAUUUUCUGUGUUGACAUAGUGUGCAUUCUAGUUAAGAUGUGUACCUUAAGAUAGAACGUUGCUUUUAUCUCUGAGGUAUGUAGAAAAGAGCAAUUGUUUCAGACGUAUCUCUUGAGCCCAAUAAACUAGUUGAAGAAAAGGGA
rnacentral:lncRNA from 1 species